UCCUCCUCCUCGGCCCCAAACCCCCCUUGCUCUCCUCGUCUCCAUCCCCACCGUGCUCCCUGCGGGAUCAGGGCUCAGGGAGGCAUCGUAGGAGGUAUAGGUGGCUGCAUUAAGAUCCACAAACCAAACGGCGUCCAACGAGUGAAGAGGUCUGAGCCUCCCGUGGCUGAGCAGGUGCAGCUUCUGCAGGAGUGAUGUCCGGCCGCCCCUCUGGACGCCCUGGCCUGGACCUGGAGGUGCCACCGAGCUCGUGAGCCCCUCCAGCGGCACGAGGAGAUGAUCAGCCCUGGAUAACGGCCCUGGUCCCCUGGGAGCCCUGGGAAUUGCCCUGCAAUGAUCAAUAAACCCCUUCAGCAAAGCA